rnacentral:lncRNA from 1 species
CCCUGAACCGUUUUUUCACGGCAUGAGCAAAGCAGUAAAGGUGACUCAUUGUGUCCAGCGGGCCUUGAACCCGCAUGUUCCGUGACGAGGGCAAACAGAUGGAAUAAAUGCUAGUGUUGAUAAGAGGUGGUGAGGAUUUGGAUCGAUUUCAGAAGAUGUGCUCUCAGUACUACGGCGCGUUAGGGCUGGAAGGACCCUUAGAAGCCACCUGGCCCCCGAUUCCGGGAUGGGCCCCAACGCACAUAGCUCCGUGGGCUUCUCCCGGAGGGGUCAGUGGUCCCGCGGAAGGUUUUAUGGAGAUUACUUCCGUAACUUUGGGGAGAGAAGAGAGAAGAGCAUAGGUGUGUACCUGUUAGUGUGGGGGGAAGGUUAUCCGCCUUGGAGUGCCGGAGGGUAAUAAAGACAACUCUAAGAGACACGAUUUGAGGAGAAGGUAAGUUUGCACCUUGUGUUUGUGGGGUUGCCUUGCAGUUGUGGACUGGCAAUACUGUUUCUGAAAUCUGACAGCUCAGUUCCUAUAGGGACCCAGGCUUGAACUGCCUGCUCGUCCCUGAAGUCUUGGCAUAGGCAUCACUUUCUCAGAGAUCACUGGAUCGUAA